GCGAAACGGCACAUAAAAUGUCGCAUCUUUCGCAAAAAUGCCGCUUUGCCAACUAAUACCCCUCAUCGAUCAACGCGCGAUAUCCGCAGAUCCGUCCGUCAGAUUUGCGAACGGAUCACGCCAGUGCGAUCAGCACAAUGGAGACAAGAAACCCGCCAUUUCGUUUCGCCUCGAUCAGUCGCGGAUUCACGACGAACCCCGCUCUCUCACCAGAAAGAAAAAUGACGCACAAAUACAUAUAAAACAUGUAUUUUCAGAUUUUCUCGAAAUCCGUACGUCAAAACCAAAAUCCGUCAGUACCAUCGG
rnacentral:lncRNA from 1 species